GAAAAGAAAUCAACCGAGAUUCCGCUAGUAGUGGCGAGGCGAACGCGGACCAGGCCAGUGCCUGAUGUUUAAUUAGCAGAACGAUCUGGAAAGUUUGGCCAUAGCGGGUGACAGCCCCGUAUGCGAAAGUGAGAUUGCGACACGAGUAAGGCGGGACACGUGAAAUCCUGUCUGAACAUGGGGGGACCACCCUUUAAGGCUAAGUACUCUCAUGCGACCGAUAGUGAACUAGUACCGUGAGGGAAGGGUGAAAGCACCCCGAUGAGGGGAGUGAAACAGUACCUGAAACCGGAUGCCUACAAGCAGUGGGAGGGUCCUUGAGACCUGACCGCGUACCUCUUGCAUAAUGGGUCUGUGACUUAGUGUAUCAAGCAAGCUUAAGCCGUUAGGCGAAGGGCAGCGAAAGCGAGUCUGAAUAGGGCGCCAUAGUUUGAUGCAUUAGACCCGAAACCCGGCGAUCUAUGCAUGACCAGGUUGAAGGUGCGGUAACACGAACUGGAGGACCGAACCCGUGAAUGUUGAAAAAUUCUGGGAUGACCUGUGGAUAGGGGUGAAAGGCUAAACAAACUCCGGAGAUAUCUGGUUCUCUGCGAAAGCUAUUUAGGUAGCGCGUCGGAUGUUUACCGCCGGGGGUAGAGCACUGGAUGGGCUAUGGGGACUCACCGUCUUACUGAUCCUAACCAAACUCCGAAUACCGCAGAGUACAGCUUUGGCAGACAGACACCGGUGCUAGUCCGUAUCGUCAAAAGGGAAACAGCCUAGACCACCAGCUAAGGCCCCUAAAUCGUGCACUAAGUGGGAAAGCAGGUGGGACGAUUGACAGCAGGAUUGUUAGCUUAGAAGGCAGCCAUCCUUUAAAGAAAGCGUAACAGCUCACUGGUCUAAAUAAGAGAUCCUGCGGCGAAGAUGUAACGGGGCUAAAGUGAUGCACCGAAGCUUAGGGUUCAGUCUUUGACUGAGCGGUAGCGGAGCGUUCCGUAAGCCUGUGAAGGUCAACCGUGAGGUCGCUGGAGGUAUCAGAAGUGCCGAAUGCUGACAUGAGUAGCGAUUAUGCGGGUGAAAAGCCCCUCGCCGAAAUUCCAAGGGUUCCUGUCCAACGUUAAUCGACACUGGGUUGAGUCGAUCCUAAGGCGAGGCCGAAAGGCGUAGUCGAUGGGAACCACGUUAAUAUUCGUGGGCCUGGUGGUGUGUGACGGAUGCCGUAAAUUGUUCGGGCUUAUUGGAUUGCUCCGGGCAGUGAAGGGGUCCCAGGAAAUAGCCCCACCGUAUAGACCGUACCCGAAACCGACACAGGUGGAAUGGUAGAGUAUACCAAGGCGUUUGAGAGAAGUGUCCUGAAGGAACUCGGCAAAUUGCCUCCGUACCUUCGGAAGAAGGAGGCCCCAUCUCAAGGCAACUUUUGAUGGGGGGCACAGGCCAGGGGGUAGCGACUGUUUAGCAAAAACACAGGUCCGUGCGAAGUCGUAAGACGAUGUAUACGGACUGACUCCUGCCCGGUGCCGGAAGGUUAAAAGGAGGUGUGCAAGCACUGAACUUAAGCCCCAGUAAACGGCGGUGGUAACUAUAACCAGUCCUAAGGUAGCGAAAUUCCUUGUCGCAUAAGUUCGCGACCUGCACGAAUGUGUAACGACUUGCCCCGCUGUCUCCU
rnacentral:rRNA from 1 species